rnacentral:lncRNA from 1 species
CAGGGACCUCCUAUCCAGAGCCUGAGCCAGCCCCAGCCCCAGCCCCAGCUCCAGCUGCUCCAUCUGAACCUGUAUCUUCUUCCAAGCCACCCAUUACCCUCUUGGAGUCAGACUCACGCAUCUCCAAAGAAGAACUUUUGAGAGCCCAGGCGCUGAGAGAGCAGGGUCAGACACUCCCGAGCCUCUCGGUACAGCUGUAGGGGCGACACAGGUAGGCUUGCAGCUGUGGGAACAGUGCCACCUCCCCACCUAAGCACUCCCAUUCCUGGCCAGCAUCCUUGGGGCUCAUCUCAUACAAUAGCCCCCGGUCUCAGAGCUACCUCCUUCUCCAGCUCUUCCUCGUCCUCAGGCCUGUGCUCCCCAGUCAGCAGCUGUAGCCGUUCCAUGUACUGCCGCUGCAUGCGGCCAGGCAGGAAGAAGUUGAGGGGAAAGGGCAUAGCCUCUGCAUACCACUUCCGGGUCACUUCCACGUAGUUCUUGGUGUCUAUCCAAAAAGUAUGUACCUGGAUUGGGUGGGCAGGAAGAAACAGGUAGGUCUGAGCCAGUGCACCUG